rnacentral:misc_RNA from 1 species
CUGAACUAAAACCCCAAAUCCCUUAUCCGAACGCGGGUCCUUUCUCAUCAGUGACGAGAGAGAGCAGACCAUGGUCCAAUAGUCUUGUUUCAGACAUUGGAAAUCACUAUCCGCAGAAAUUUCUCCCUCGAAAACUCGAAGAAGAUGUUAUCCAUGGCAAUUCAAUCUGGUGUUAGGAGUGUUUUCACGCAAUUCCCAUUUCCUUGUCAGACCAUCAGUUGCAAGAGAAUCAAAACUAGCAUUUUCAUUGGUCCCAAACCCAAUGCAGCCAUUAUUGACCCAAAAAUCAGACCCAUUUCCAGAAACCAAAGAUUAAAAGGUUUUGCAGCGCCAGAAGCUCUGGCGGCUAAAACAACCAAUGAAGCAGAAGAAACCACGGAAGUGGAAGAAGAACCAAUCCCUGACCAAGGAAAAGAGAGAGUUGAAGUGUCGGUGAAGCAAGCGGAUAAACCAAGGCUGGUGCUGAAGUUCAUAUGGAUGGAGAAGAAUAUUGGGCUGGCUCUUGAUCAGGUAAUUCCUGGACAUGGUACUGUUCCCUUGAGUCCAUACUACUUCUGGCCAAGAAAGGAUGCAUGGGAAGAGCUCAAGACCACUCUAGAGAGCAAACCAUGGAUAUCCCAGAAGCAGAUGAUCAUACUUCUCAAUCAGGCCACUGAUAUCAUCAAUUUGUGGCAGCAAAGUGGUGGCAAUCUUACCACAUAAUGGAACAGACAUUUUGGUUUAUUUUGCAGUUAAUUGUUAGUGUUUAGGUGUUGAGUUAGCUAAUUUGCUUACGGAUAUCCUUUUGUACCAUUGGUUCUAGUAUAAUUGAGGAAUGAAUUAUGUUCAUGGUUGUGGGUAUUUGCAUUUGCUGGUUGCUGUAACCUUGCCAUAUUCAUUGAUGCAUGAAUUCUCGAUUGGUAUUAUCUUAGUUUUUAAGAUUUGGAAUUUGGUGUUUUUCCCCUAGUGGGAGCUCAACAAUGUGUGAAUUUAGCGGGAUCCAAUUCUACAAAUCAUGUUUUUCCAAUUAAGGCAUUUGCAAUUAAUUAAUGUUGAUGCAAUUCGACUUUCGAC